rnacentral:misc_RNA from 1 species
GAUGAAGAACGUAGCGAAAUGCGAUAAGUAAUGUGAAUUGCAGAAUUCAGUGAAUCAUCGAAUCUUUGAACGCACACUGCGCCCGCCAGUAUUCUGGCGGGCAUGCCUGUUCGAGCGUCAUUUCAACCAUCAAGCCCCCGGCUUGUGUUGGGGACCUGCGGCUGCCGCAGGCCCUGAAAACCAGUGGCGGGCUCGCUAGUCACUCCGAGCGUAGUAAUACAUCUCGCUCAGGGCGUGCUGCGGGUUCCGGCCGUUAAAAAGCCUUAUUUACCCAAGGUUGACCUCGGAUCAGGUAGGAAGACCCGCUGAACUUAAGCAUAUCAAUAAGCGGAGGA